ncrna:unclassified sequences uup RNA
GGCGAAUCAACUCUGUACAAUCAAAGCCGAUGAAACAUUGUACAGAGU